UACGAGGGGCGAGCGUUGUUCGGAAUUAUUGGGCGUAAAGGGUGCGUAGGCGGUUUGGUAAGUCUGAUGUGAAAUCUAUGGGCUCAACUCAUAGUCUGCAUCGGAAACUGCCGGGCUUGAGUGUGGGAGAGGUGAGUGGAAUUCUGGUGUAGCGGUGAAAUGCGUAGAUAUCAGGAGGAACACCUGUGGCGAAAGCGGCUCACUGGACCAUAACUGACGCUGA
rnacentral:rRNA from 1 species